GACGAACGCUGGCGGCGUGCCUAAUACAUGCAAGUCGAACGCUUCUUUCCUCCCGAGUUCUUGCACUCGAUUGGAAAGAGGAGUGGCGGACGGGUGAGUAACACGUCGGUAACCUACCCAUCAGAGGGGGAGAACACUUGGAAACAGGUGCUAAUACCGCAUAACAGUUUAUGCCGCAUGGCAUAAGAGUGAAAGGCGCUUUCGGGUGUCGUUGAUGGAUGGACCCGCGGUGCAUUAGCUAGUUGGUGAGGUAACGGCUCACCAAGGCCACGAUGCAUAGCCGACCUGAGAGGGUGAUCGGCCACACUGGGACUGAGACACGGCCCAGACUCCUACGGGAGGCAGCAGUAGGGAAUCUUCGGCAAUGGACGAAAGUCUGGCCGAGCAACGCCGCGUGAGUGGAAGAGGUUUUCGGAUCGGAAAACUCUGUUGUUAGUGAAGAACAAGGACGUUAGUAACUGAACGUCCCCUGACGGUAACUAACCAGAAAGCCACGGCUAACUACGUG
rnacentral:rRNA from 1 species